CUUGGGACCCAGAGCCCUCUCAGGGAUGGACAUGGGAACAGGAGCCUUCGCUGGGCUAGACAUGGGAACAGGAGCACUCUCUUGGAUAACCUCAGGGACUGGAGUCCUUGCUGGGCUAAACUCAGGGAUUGGAGCCCUCUCUGGGUUAAACUCGGGGACUGGAGCCCUCUCUGUGCUAAACUCGGGUACUGGAGCCCUCUCUGUGCUAAACUCGGGGACUGGAGCCCUCUCUGCGCUAAACUCGGGGACUGGAACCCUCUCUGUGCUGGAACCCUCUCUGUGCUCCACUCGGGGGCUGGAGCCCUCUCUGGGCUCACCUCGGGGACUGGAGCCCUCUCUGGGCUAACCUCGGGGACUGGAGCCCUCGCUGGGCUAAACUCGGGGACUGGAGCCCUCUCUGUGCUAACCUCGGGGACUGGAGCCCUCUCUGUGCUAAGCUCGGGGACUGGAGCCCUCUCUGUGCUAAACUCAGGGACUGGAGCCCUCUCUGGGUUAAACUCGGGGACUGGAGCCCUCUCUGGGUUACACUCGAGGACUGGAGCCCUCUCUGUGCUAAACUCGGGGACUGGAGCCCUCUCUGUGCUAACCUCGGGGACUGGAGCCCACUCUGGGUUAAACUCGGGGACUGGAGCCCUCUCUGUGCUAAACUCGGGAACUGGAGCCCUCUCUGUGCCAAACUCGGGGACUGGAGCCCUCUCUGGGUUGGACUGGGAAACGGGAGUCCACUCAGGGCUGGACGGGACCAGCGGGGACGAACGAGAGGUCGAUCCAUGUGGCAACAGCUCGUCGGCUGUGGCGAGCUCGGGUUGUCCAUCAGCGGUGGGCUCGGGCAUGCACUCCACGCAGCGGGGAGAUGGCAGUCUGGGCACUGGGUCAGGAGUGGAUCCGGCGAGAUCAGAUCAAGGCAGAUGGCGAAUGGCGAUCCAUUUCUCGCCAGAAUCCACUCCACCGAAAAUCCACUCGACCAUCCUCGGACGACGGCGCUCUGCAUGCUGUGUUCAGGCUGGCAUCAUAGAACGCACAGAGCAUGUCGUCCGGGGACAGCUGUGUGGGAUAUUAUUUUUAGCCCGGAGCGCUGGACUCGGAUCCGGGUUUCUGUUGGGAAGCCUGAACUGA
ensembl:lncRNA